rnacentral:rRNA from 1 species
UACGGGGGGGGCAAGCGUUGUUCGGAAUUACUGGGCGUAAAGGGCUCGUAGGCGGCCAACUAAGUCGGAUGUGAAAUCCCCAGGCUUAACCUGGGAACUGCAUCCGAUACUGGAUGGCUUGAAUCCGGGAGAGGGAUGCGGAAUUCCAGGUGUAGCGGUGAAAUGCGCAGAUAUCAGGAGGAACACCAAUGGCGAAGGCAGCUCACUGGGACGGUACUGACGCUGAGACGCGAAAGCGUGGGGAGCAAACAGG